UACGAAGGGGGCUAGCGUUGCUCGGAAUCACUGGGCGUAAAGCGCACGUAGGCGGCUUUCUAAGUCAGGGGUGAAAUCCUGGAGCUCAACUCCAGAACUGCCUUUGAUACUGGAGAGCUCGAGUCCGGAAGAGGUGAGUGGAAACUGCGAGUGUAGAGGUGAAAUUCGUAGAUAUUGCUCGGAAGGCCAACGGCGAAGGCAGGUUACUGGUGCGCAACUGACACUGAGGCACGAAAGCGUGGGGAGCAAACAGG
rnacentral:rRNA from 1 species